UUUCAGAAUUUAUAACUAAAUCGUCAGAGUACAAGGUACAGAUGAAAAAUAAAUAUUAUCAAUAGGGAAACUUAAGACAAUAGCAAAAAAAAAAUGAAUAAUUAAUAUAAAUCAAAUGAAAAUAAUUACUUAUUAUACAAUAGGCAUACACUAAGUUUCAAAAAAUACAAUAUUCAAAUUAUAUUGUCAUUAGACAUAUGCCAUAAAUACUUAUACAAUAAACUUUAAAUGAAAAAGAUAAUUUUUUUUAUAAAUUCAAACAUAAAUUACAUUUAAUGUUAAAUUAAUAAAAACACGUCACUUGUAAAUAGGGGAGACAAUUUUUUUAAAUAAGAUUGGUAAAGAACUCUAUGAGUUACAAUAGUCAAAGUUUGGCAUUUUUACAGAUAUAAUUCUUAUCGAGGCUUAUUUGAGAUAUAGUUAAAUCAGCUAAGCUAUAUAUGUAUAAGGAUUCGGAAUAUGCAUAUACCAUCUAUACCCUGAGUGCUUUGCUACCUAAAAAUCAAUAUAAAGAAAAUACAGACUUUACGAUUUUUGAAGAUUCUGGCUAGAACAGUUUCCCAGAUAUACGAAUUUUUGUAUUUAAUUCACAUGGUUGGAUCCCCCUACAAAAAUUCCACCAAUUUAUUACCCCAAUAGUCACAUGGAUACCAGAGUUCUUAAUGCUAAAUUUAAUGAUUCUAUCUCUAGCAGUUUCCCAAAUACAAGAAUUUUUGUGUUUAAUUCAUAUGGGAGGUGUUAAUCCUUCUUAAUGAGAGUGUUCCCAAAUAUUCACAUGGAUGUUAAAGUUCUUCGCACAAAAUUUGCUGAUUCUAGCUCCAAGUAGGCACCUCGCCUACUUGAAUUUCAUAAACUAAACGGAGCCUAUAGUUCCUUCCAGUCAUACUGGAAGCCUCUGUGAAAGUUUCUAGAAAAUCGCCGCCCAGCAAAAAAUUGGAUUAUUUUUGCUUCUUUGAACGUAAAAUAAACAGCUCACAAAAGGUGGUACACAAAAUGAGUGGGUGAAAUAGGUGUCAAAACUGUUGUAAUUUGUAGCUUAUACAGAAACAUAUUUAAACAAUUGUUUGGGAUUUGGUUUGCUCCAUCUAAGAAUUUUUUAAUAUUUUUUUCUCAUAUUUAGUACAUUAAUACACAUUGACUAAGCGGUAAAGAAGUAUUCCACAGGACAUCGUAAUGUACAUACUUUGUAGUGUUAAAACUAUAUAUAUUGUAAAAAUACGAACGGCAUAACAAACAUAAAUACAGUGAAACAACUAAUUAAUUUGCAUUUGUAAAAUAUUCCAAAUUUUAAGAAAAAAAAUUAUCUGAACAAUUACUUUUAGAAAAAUUAAGCAAUAUGAUUAUUUUAUUUUUUAAAGAAUCAAUUAUAUUUUAAUUUUCUAUUAUAAAAAGUAAAAUCGUGAUAUUAAUUAACGAGAUUUUUGAUAAAAUGUGAAUUUUUUUAUAACAAAAUAAUCCAAAAUAAUACGUUCCCACGGCAAUCGGUUCUUCGCACCGGAACGACUCGGAGUUCAACAAACAACGACCAAGGAUUUUCAA